CUGCUAACUCUUCAAAACCUUUCUCAAAAUACAAGAUAGUAAAGUUCAAUUCAUUAUACUCAAAUCCAAAAAGGCUCUAUUUGAUAAGAAUAAGCUAUCAAGAAAAUAAUUAGUUCAGUCUAUUGCUCUACAAAUUCCCAAUAAAAUGCCACUCGAUAUCACCCAGCAGCAGUUGCAAUUGAUUAGAGUUGGCUCCAUCCUUCUAUAUAUGCAAAAGUUCAUGAGAAAGAAAAAAGAACUAAAAGAGAUUAUGAGAUUGUAAGAAAACUUUACUAUUAUGUAAAUGUUAUUUGAAUAUUAGCUCGACAAAAAUAUCAUUUAAAGAAGCCAAUUCACUUGAUUGCAUAAUCAACAUAACAAAUCCCAUAAUCUCAAACUUGUAAAUCGACCUUAAAAGUACUCUCUUGCAUUGUAAAACAUUUUAUUCUAAAUGCGAAAAAACUCUAAAUGAUCCCUUCACUUUCUCUUAGCAAAAUCUCCGAUUCACUUUAGUCCAUAAGAAGCCCAUGGAAAAAUCAAAAUUUAGCUACAAAAUAUGUAAAAUUGUCUAUGGUUAUGAUGGGAGUCUGAGGGGCUUUCUCGAAGAGUUCUUGGACGUAAUUCUCGUCGAAGCAGCAUUGGUCGACAUCAUAGACUUGGAGAAAGAGGGAAAUAGGCAUAGCCACCACCCGGAUGCUUCAUUUGAAGUAUAUAAACAAUUUGGAGUAGAGAGUAUAGAAGCUUUUCUCCUCAAUGGUUUGGGAGCUUUUAGGAAUCGAGGUUUUGAUUUGGAGCUUUGGGUUUUGGAGUUUCGAAUGUACUAAUUACUUGAUUAAAUAUUUUAAUUAGUUUGAAAAAUGUUAUUCAA
rnacentral:lncRNA from 1 species